GCUGGAGAGAAUGAGCUUGGAGCCGCAGGGCUUAAUCCCGCGCGGCUCAGAGAUGGGUUUCUGGACUCGCGAAGCAGCUGCAACAAGGCAUCACUCACUGUAUAAGUAUUUCCAUUUCUGAGAGCAAAAGGAAGAACUUAAGCGGGCGGCACUUGGAGUGUAAAUUGCUUUGUAGUAUUUAAAGGCAGAAUGGAUCCUGGGCAGCCGAGCUGAUCAUGAGGUUCCUGAGGCCUCCUAGCCAUGCUUCCUGUGCAGCCUAUGGAACUCAACAAACCGGCAGGACUUCCUGUGAAAUCAUGACCACCAUGUGCUCUUUCAGCCUCUAUCAGUUCCUACCUCUAAGCACCUGAGAGCCAAAGCAAACCACAGGAAACCACAGGUACUAACUCUUUUAGACCUGAUGAAGUGUCUCCCAAAUACAGUCUGGCAUGACUCAAACUAAACGUCAGCUUUUCCCGGCUCUCAAGCCUGCUGGUCCCUGAACUAAAACUCACAUUAUCAACUCUACUGGUUCUUAGGCCUUUGGAGUCAGACUGGAACUACAGCAUUGACUCUUCCGGAACUCCAGCUUACUGACUACAGAUCUUGGAACUUUUCAGCUUCCACAACCAUAAUGAAAGCCAAGCAUAUUCCAUCAUUUCCUAAAACCAAGAUAGAGCACAUAUGGGAACUUGUGAAAUAAGCUUCUUUGGACCUUUUAAGUUGCAUUAUCCCAUAAAAUGUGGUGGAUUCAAUGUUGUAUGGCCUGUAAAACUAAGUAAUGAAGGCUGAUAUGUACCCACCUGGCUCUGUCUUGGGAUCACACAACUUGGGAGCCAAAACAGGUGAGGAUGGGGAGGUGUCAAACAAGACCUAACCUCUCAACAAUCAGCUGGACACUGUUGUGUAAGAAUGUGAAGCUUGGCACUGCUGCAGCCAUCUUGUUCCAGGAAGGGUAAAACCUGAGGUUAGAAGCCAACAUCCUAAUGAUGGCAGAGAAGACAAAGAGAACCAGAGUCUAAAUGACAUUGUUGAGUUAGAUCACUACACUACCUCUAGUCUUCUUUUUAUGUGUGAUAAUAAAUCUCACUUAUACUUAAGCCAUUUGAAGUUGAGUCUAAUGUUCAUUUCAGACCAAAGCAGCUUAACUGACAUGUUCUCCGCUUUGUUACCCUAUCCAGUUGUUUUCAUGCAGGAAAUAAAUCUCAAAUUACCUCA
rnacentral:lncRNA from 1 species